CUUUUUUGAUUAUGAGAAUCACAUAAGAAGAUCACAUUUCCAUUUUCCUUUCGGCUGCCAGGAAUCUCAGAUCCAACUUUGAAGCUCAGCCAUGGCAAUUAUGUGGCCCCUUGUGAUCUGAAACAUUUAUUUUCUUUCUUUCUGUGGUCUUAGUUUUCUCACUCUGUUUAUAUCUUCUCUCAUCCCGAUUCUCUAUUUUAUCAGCAUUUUCAUUAGGUACCUUCUGCUAUAAGCUGCUUUACAUGCUGUUUGGAAUAAAGAGGAUUGUAAAUAGGGAAAUAAAUACAUCGUGGUUCCAUUAUGAUGUUAAUAUUUAUUGCUGAAAAUGUGAUUGUUUAGCAAAAUAAAUGAAUUCCCAUUCUGCAUUGUCUUUGAAUUUCGAACAGAGGUUACCCGGGAGACUCUCUUUCUUCUGCUAGGAACCAUUGAGCUCCUGUAGAUCUAACGCCUGGUGCAUAGAAGGCCUUGCCAGUCUUGACCAGGUCGGGGGGUGAGGUCAAGAUUCGGCACUGCUAAUCAGCUUCCAGGUGAGGCCAAGGUCGCGCCAUGUUGUUGAAUGCAGUCCCUUCAUGUUACAGAGAGCAGAGGGGACCACAGCCCGAGCCCCCUGCUGCCUCCCAGAGCGAGGCUCUCCUCAUCGUGGACUCACCGCCCUCUGUGUGCCUCGUCCAUCACAUACAUCCUAAGUGUCCCUCCCAGCCUGUGAGCUUCUAGAAGGCAUUGCAACCCGGCACAGGAGCUGACACUUACAAAUAUUCAGGAACAAGCCAGUAGGUGACUCUCAGAAACACUGCCCAGAUCCCCGAAAUAAAUCUCGGCUCGGGGAGCCCCAGACCCAAACCCUAGAGCAAAGAGCAGGGAGACAUUCGGGGCCGCUCCAGAGUCUCAGUGUCUGUGGUUUCCCAGUUCUGACCUUGAAUCCCCCCAGGAAGGGAUUGCAGAAGGCUGGGAAGAAGGUUGCAGUGGAAGGGGAUUCGGUUCCCAAAUAGGCAGCGGGAGGAGGGACGGAAUCAGGGCGGGCAGAGUCCUCCUUGGUUCUGGCCCCAGUGUCCUGUGUGAUUCUGAGUAGGACCACCUAUCCCCUCCCACUCUGGAGCCAUUCGAGUUGUCCUGUUAUGUCCCUCUGAAUGGUCAACAGGACAUUCCUGGGCAACAGAGACCUUGGCAGCUGGUAUCUUACAGGUCCUCGAAGUCUCAUGUAGGGGAAAGAUCAUGAGAUCUGGAGGUGAAGGAGUGGCCCUAACUGGCCCUAAACACUUCAAGUGCCCCUGGGCACGUGGUUUCAUGGCUCUGAGCCUCGAUUUCUUCCUCUGGACAGGGUCUUCCUCUGUCACCCAGGCUGCAGUGCAGUGGCGCAAUCAUGGCUCACCGCAGCCUCCACCUCCUGGGAUCAAGGGAUCCUCCCACCUCAGCACCCCGAGUAGCUGGGACCACAGGCGGACGCCACAGCAUCUGGCUGUUUGUAUAUUUUGUAGACAGGGUUUCACCAUGUUGGCCAGGCUGGUCUCGAAUUCCUGGGCUCAAAUGAUCCACCUGCCUCAGCCUCCCAAAGUGCUAGGAUUACAGGAGUGACCCACCGUGCCCAGCACCCCCUUUACCUCUGAGCAAUCCAUCUCUCUCCUUGGGGGCACCCCAUGAUCUAGACACCACCCACCUUGUUCUGCCUUGGCCAAAAUACCACCUAACUGCCCCCACCUAUGCCAGGUGCCCCUCACCCACCCUCCUCCACCCUUCGCUGAGUCCCACUUGGCUGGUGCCCAGGACAGGGACAGUCCCAGCCCUUCCAGCCCAUCUCCCCACAUCAGUACACUCCGGAGAGCCAGCCAAGAGUAGAUUCUUUAUUCAUUUCUCUUUUUUUUCUUAAAAAAAAAAGUAUUCAUUUGGUAUAAAAAAUAAAUAUUUUAAAUAUGAC
rnacentral:lncRNA from 1 species